UACGUAGGGCGCAAGCGUUGUCCGGAAUUAUUGGGCGUAAAGAGCUCGUAGGCGGCUUGUCACGUCGGGUGUGAAAGCCCGGGGCUUAACCCCGGGUCUGCAUUCGAUACGGGCAGGCUAGAGUGUGGUAGGGGAGAUCGGAAUUCCUGGUGUAGCGGUGAAAUGCGCAGAUAUCAGGAGGAACACCGGUGGCGAAGGCGGAUCUCUGGGCCAUUACUGACGCUGAGGAGCGAAAGCGUGGGGAGCGGACAGG
rnacentral:rRNA from 1 species